UACGAAGGGGGCUAGCGUUGCUCGGAAUCACUGGGCGUAAAGCGCACGUAGGCGGCUUGUUAAGUCAGGGGUGAAAUCCUGGAGCUCAACUCCAGAACUGCCUUUGAUACUGGCGAGCUUGAGUUCGGGAGAGGUGAGUGGAACUGCGAGUGUAGAGGUGAAAUUCGUAGAUAUUCGCAAGAACACCAGUGGCGAAGGCGGCUCUCUGGGACGGUACUGACGCUGAGACGCGAAAGCGUGGGGAGCGAACAGG
rnacentral:rRNA from 1 species